CUGCCAUGUCCCUGGCCUCAGGCACUGAUGGCCUCCACCUGGGCACUUCUAAAGGGCAACCAAAAUAAGGACACUGGGCCUCACCUGCUGCUCAGAUGACCCAACCAAGAAUAGGCAGAACUCAGGGCCAGCCUAGGAGGGGGUACCCUCCAAUUGCGUGGACGCCUAAUUCUACACCGUGUGUCCUGCCCUCCUCUUGGGAUCCAUGGACAGGGAAGUCUGUCUAUCUGCCCAGAGCCUGACACUGAGUCUUGGUGGAGUUGGAACUGGGAAGAAAGAGCCAGAGGUAAGAGCCGGAGAGAUGACUUCAGAUGCUCAGGCGGCCCUCAGUGAAAAGGAAACUGAGGCCUGGGAAGAAGGGUUUGGCAGGGCUCCAGUGGGGAAUUAUCAGCCAAGAUGGGGGAGGGUGUCUGCCUUUCAGCUGCUUCUGGUAAUUUCCACAUCACACUGUGAACCCUAGUUAAGCAGCGCUGCAAGUAGCCCAAGAUAGGAGGAGAGCCUUGGGCGCUAACUGAAGUGAUAAUGCCCAUAAAUUUCCUGUCUCCAUGUCACAGAUGAAAAACUGAGUCGGGGUGAACAAUCCGCCUGGCAAGUCAUAGCAAGUGGCUCAGCUGAGAUCCAAAGGCAGGUGCUCUGCUCUGCUUCUGCCGCGGAGAACUUCCAUGACCCCAGGCACAUCAGAGCCCCUCUCUUCCCUCUGAGAGACGAGAGGGUGGAUCUAAGUCCCUCCUCAGAGCCUGGCACAGUAGGCACAGGAGACCCAUCGGCUCUUCCCACCGGCACCCAGGGUCUAAAUCAGUGUUUCUCAAUCUUCCAAAUGCUGCAACCCUUUAAUACAGUUCCUCAUGUUGUGGUGAAACACACACACACCUGCUCCAGCCAUAAGAUUAUUUCCUUGCUACUUUGUAACAGUAAUUUUGCUACUGUUAUGAAUCAUGAUGUAAAUAUCUGACAUGAAGGAUAUCUGAUAUGCAACCUCUAUGAAAAAGGGUCAUUCAACUGCUAGAGGGGUCGUGACCCACAAGUUGAGAACCAGAGGUCUGAAGGGACACAACUUUAGCAGAGCACAUAAAUACCUUCUGGUCUGUUUUCAGAAAACCUCUUUCCACAUCUUAGCUUUCUGCUGUCACUAAUGAGUUGUUUUUCUGAUUCCCUCUUAUCCUCACUCCUCCACUCCCACCAUACACACACACCCCCUCCCAUCUCACCCUGCAACCUGGGUCUGUCCCCUUCCGUUCUGUGCCCAAUACCCAGAGUUCUUGCUUAAUAGACAGUGAUGUCCACUAUGCAGAGCUGGACGCCUCAGCCCUGGAACAUGUGCCAGGAUCACAGACUACUGUGCUGGCGCCUGGAGAAGCUGUGGAAUAUGCCACCAUUCAGCUGAGCCCACCUUAGCACUGACCCCUCGCCUCUCACCCAGCACGGGGCAACAGAACUCUAGCAUGAAAACCCAGAACCAACCCCCAGAAGACUUCUGCACUGGGAUCAGCUACCCACUGUACGUAGGGCCAUAUCCUCCUGAACAUCUACCAGUCUCCCUGGGCUCUGCUCAUCCCCUUAGCAUCCACAAGACAGUGCUAUCAACACACACACACACACACACACACACACACACACACACACACACACCCUUUACCUCCUGCCACUCCACUGUGGGUCAGUCCAGGAAGCAGCUUCUCCUACAUUGGAGGAUCCCCACUCAGACCUGGGGUCCUCUGAGACUCUUUCUUCCCUCUAGUGCCCCACACAGGGCAAGCUUCAAAGUGGCUAUGGGCAUGAUGCCUGAGGGAACUCAUACAGAGGGUGGAUAGGGAGAAUCCAUAAAGAUUUACCACCUCCACAACUAUAUGUAGGCUUUGCAUUUUUCACAGGCACUUCUGGAUUCCACUUUGGCCUCCCAGGCUUAACAUCAGCUAUGCUGAACCAUCGAGUUAUGAAAGAGGCAUCAGAGUUGACCCUAUGUGACAUCUACCUCUAUUUUUCAGCACCUCCAACUUGCCUCCAGAUCCAAACCCAAAACCUUUCUUCCCGCUCACCGCAGCCCCCAUCUUAGGUAUCAUGGGCAGGUCCCCUGUGGAUUCCAACAAUUUGGACCACACAGUAACUUGUGCUGACCCUUCAGAGCUUGGAGCUAGCCAAGUCUCUAUAGCCAUAUUUUAGGACCCAGAGUUCCCAGAUUAUAGACUUUUUCUCCUAAGGGCAAUGAAUUGUCUAGGCCAGUCCAGUUCCAAGUGGCUGUCCCUUAUGGCACUGGUGGCUAGGACUCUGAGAACAUAUGAGCAAUGCCCCACACUUCCUGUCUUUAAUUUCUCACACCUGCCCAUAGCCUGGAGGGGCUGGCCAUCACAGUGACUGAAUACUGGACUAGGAGUCCCACCAGCCUCUUCCUCAGGGACCACCAAGGGACCUAAGCCAUGCCAGGAGGGGAGAGACAGGCUCAGGCGAACAGCACUAAGUAGAAAGCAGGAAUAUUUCCCCUUAGGGAAGCAUUGUCAGUGAAUCUCCUCUCCCGAAUUGCUAGUACCUCAAGACCCCAAUGAGUAAAGAGUUGCUCAAGCCAAACACACACACACACACACACACAAACACUCACACACACACACACACACACACACACACACACACACACAGAGGCCCGGCUACAACAGUACACACACAUACACAGCCCUGGGAACUCCCAGGUUUAGUACAGUUUGUCCUACUACAGCUUCUACCUUCAUGCAUGUGUCACAGUCACUGUGUCCUUGCCCAGAUGGGAGCAGCACAGAGAAACGAGGGCUUCAUGACGUAGAGAGGUGACUCAGAACAUCUGUUCCUUGGCACUGAGAACUACCCAGUGUGGUGUGGCUGAGCACCAAGCUUUCUCUCUCACCUACGUUUUUCCCAGGCCUUGAGCAUCCUCAGCAACCCUCUGCACCGUGCUCUAUCCCCACACCUUUCCCCUACACACACACACACACACACACACACACACACACACACACACACACACACAUACACACUUAUUCAUUUUGAAAUAGGGUCUCUAAGUUUCCAGACUGGCCUGGGGCUCACUCUGCAGCCCACGUUGCCCCAGCAGUGGCUAGGACUCAGUUCUUCCCUGAAAGAAGAUGCUGAGCUGAACAACGUUUGUGAAUGAAAGAGGACCUAGGAAUAUCUCAUACAGCGACACUGGCAACCAGGUAUAGGUGCAAACGAUGACGGACAAUUACGGAAACUGAAAACACAAUGGAGUAGAGACAAAUGUAAAGGCUUUUAUUUAAGAGCACAGUAGCGCACACUCAAUGUUAGAAGCUCCUGACUUAGUAGCAA
rnacentral:lncRNA from 1 species